rnacentral:rRNA from 1 species
AUGGGUGGCAUGGGGUUUUGAGACAUGAGAUCCUUUAAUCAGGCACUGCUUGCUAAACAAGCGUGGCGGUUGUUGGACACGCCGGGGAGCCUCUGUGCUCGCCUUCUCAAGGCCAAGUAUUAUCCAUAUGGACAUCUACCAGAUACGGUGUUCUCGGGCAAUGGCUCAUCAGUUUGGAAAGGUAUAUUACAUGGCCUUGACUUGCUCAAGAAAGGUGUAAUCUGGAGGGUGGGAAACGGGGCUGACAUAUGCACCUGGAGGGAUCGCUGGAUCCCUUGGCCAUCGUCGUAUCGCCCCAUCACUUCAAAAGGCAAUUGUUGCCUGAACAGGGUUGCUGAUUUUCUUGAUGAAAACGGGGCUUGGCGAGUGGAUCGUCUUCGUGAAUUCUUUUGGCUCGUGGACGUACAGUAUAUCACAAAGAUCAGAACUUCGCCCCGCAUGCGGAAUGAUUUCUUGUCCUGGUUUCCGGAGAAGAGCGGGACCUUCACGGUGAAGAGUGCAUACAGAUUAGCCACAUGUGAUCAUAACACUGCCUUUGCUGGUGGUUCUUCUAGUUCAGACCCUGAGGGGAAUCGCUCACUAUGGAACACGAUUUAG